rnacentral:rRNA from 1 species
AAUUACCCACUCCCAGCACGGGGAGGUAGUGACGAAAAAUAANGAUACGGGACUCAUCCGAGGCCCCGUAAUCGGAAUGAGUACACUUUAAAACUUUUCCCGAGGAUCAAUUGGAGGGUAAGUCUGGUGCCAGCAGCCGCGGUAAUUCCAGCUCCAAUAGCGUAUAUUAAAGUUGUUGCGGUUAAAAAGCUCGUAGUCGAAUCUGUGUCCCGCGCCGCUGGUUCAUCGCUCGCGGUGUUCAACUGGCGUGUCUCGCGGGACGUCCUGCCGGUGGGCGCUCGUAUCGUUUCGGCGGUGCGUGGCCCAACUCGUAGCCGUCUCGCGCGGUUGCGAAUCCCAUCGCGGUGCUCUUUAUUGAGUGUCGAGGUGGGCCGGCACGUUUACUUUGAACAAAUUAGAGUGCUUAAAGCAGGCCAAUUUUGCCUGAAUAUUGUGUGCAUGGAAUAAUGAAAUAGGACCUCGGUUCUAUUUUGUUGGUUUUCGGAACCCCGAGGUAAUGAUUAAUAGGAACGGAUGGGGGCAUUCGUAUUGCGACGUUAGAGGUGAAAUUCUUGGAUCGUCGCAAGACGGACAGAAGCGAAAGCAUUUGCCAAAAACGCUUUCAUUGAUCAAGAACGAAAGUUAGAGGUUCGAAGGCGAUCAGAUACCGCCCUAGUUCUAACCAUAAACGAUGCCAGCUAGCGAUCCGCCGACGUUCCUCCGAUGACUCGGCGGGCAGCUUCCGGGAAACCAAAGCUUUUGGGUUCCGGGGGAAGUAUGGUUGCAAAGCUGAAACUUAAAGGAAUUGACGGAAGGGCACCACCAGGAGUGGAGCCUGCGGCUUAAUUUGACUCAACACGGGACACCUCNCCAGGCCCGGACACCGGAAGGAUUGACAGAUUGAUAGCUCUUUCUUGAUUCGGUGGGUGGUGGUGCAUGGCCGUU